AAGGUUAGCCUUUCCCCCAGUUCGGACUUCAUAAUUCCAACAACAGCAUCUGGCUGCUCCUCCGAAAAUAAACUAUAAUCGCCCGGACAACCCACCGAUACCUACUCUCGAGAUAAUCCUCCAGGUACAACAUCUUCCGGCAGUGCUAGGGAACGUUUCCGAACACGAUUCAGACAAACCAUGCGUCGUCGCGAGAUCCAGAGCUUCACGCUCAAGCUGAGCGACCUCAAGGAGUACGAUGUGGCCAAACAGCAACGGCUGGCACGGACCAAGGAUUCCACUGGCUCGGCAACAGCAACCACAACGACGACAGAUGGCCUAGACCCGAUGAAAACUCCCGAAGUGACGAUGUCCGCUCUGCCCAAGUUGGCGGAACCCAAAACGAAGCAGGAAAUUCGCGCGCGCAUUGGGUUUCCAACGGAUUUGGCGUAGAUGUAAGGUUCAGGUUUUUAGGUUGUAUUACAUUUGCACAAUACCCUCUGUUGAUAGAUGUUGCUAUCUUCAAUGGAGGCGGAAUAUCACUUACGAACCAAUAUUGCUAUAUUCAAUAGAGAUGAAACAAAGAUCUCAUAGCUGUAUAAUUUUGUUUGCACAGAAUAGAGAUUAUGUUGAAUUUCGUGUA